CCUACGGGGUGCAGCAGUGAGGAAUAUUGGUCAAUGGGCUUACGCCUGAACCAGCCAAGUCGCGUGAGGGAAGACUGCCCUAUGGGUUGUAAACUUCUUUUAUAAAGGAAUAAAACGAGGCACGUGUGCCUUUUUGCAUGUACUUUAUGAAUAAGGAUCGGCUAACUCCGUGCCAGCAGCCGCGGUAAUACGGAGGAUCCGAGCGUUAUCCGGAUUUAUUGGGUUUAAAGGGAGCGUAGAUGGGUUGUUAAGUCAGUUGUGAAAGUUUGCGGCUCAACCGUAAAAUUGCAAUUGAUACUGGCAGUCUUGAGUACAGUUGAGGUAGGCGGAAUUCGUGGUGUAGCGGUGAAAUGCUUAGAUAUCACGAAGAACCCCGAUUGCGAAGGCAGCUUACUAAACUGUGACUGACAUUGAUGCUCGAAAGUGUGGGUAUCAAACAGGAUUAGAUACCCGUGUAGUC
rnacentral:rRNA from 1 species